CUCAAACACACAUUUCUCAACCAACCUUUAAAAAAGAUCUGAAGCGACAUACUAAGACACGCAACACGACAACGUACUGAGACGAGGGUGUUAACCGAGCCCCAGAUGGCUGCUCUGUGGCACAGUGUGGUGAAGGUGGCAGAGCUGCAGCCUGAGCUGCUACUAAAAUCCAUCUGGGCUGCUUGGAAAAGCAGCGCUGCGUGAUUCUAUUCAGUGGUCCUCGACAACAUUAAGACUGGAGAUGAUCAGAUGAAGAAGCCCCUCCUCCUGCUGCUCUCUGUGAUGUCGACGUCUCUGACGGGCAGUCGGUGUCUCCCUUGGAGAGGAUGGAUGCGGGGUUAACUCACCGCCCUCUGAACUUUGAUCCUCUACAGGGGGAACAUUGAAGAGGUGC